AUGAACGCUGGCGGCGUGCCUCAUACAUGCAAGUCGAGCGAACAGACGAGGAGCUUGCUCCUCUGACGUUAGCGGCGGACGGGUGAGUAACACGUGGAUAACCUACCUAUAAGACUGGGAUAACUUCGGGAAACCGGAGCUAAUACCGGAUAAUAUAUUGAACCGCAUGGUUCAAUAGUGAAAGACGGUUUUGCUGUCACUUAUAGAUGGAUCCGCGCCGCAUUAGCUAGUUGGUAAGGUAACGGCUUACCAAGGCGACGAUGCGUAGCCGACCUGAGAGGGGGCUCGGCCACACGGGACCUGAGACACGUCCCAAACCCCUACGGGGGGAAGCAGUGGGGAAUUUCCCGCAAUGGGGGAAAGCCUGACGGAGCAACGCCGCGUGAGUGAUAAAGGUCUUCGGAUCGUAAAACUCUGUUAUUAGGGAAGAAAAAAUGUGUAAGUAACUAUGCACGUUUUGACGGUACCUAAUCAAAAAGCCACGGCUAACUACGU
rnacentral:rRNA from 1 species